rnacentral:rRNA from 1 species
UACGGGGGGUGCGAGCGUUGUCCGGAAUCACUGGGCGUAAAGGGCGCGUAGGUGGUUUGAUAAGGGUGUGGUGAAAGCCCGGAGCUCAACUCCGGGUCUGCCGUGCCGACUGUCAAACUCGAGGGCUGUAGAGGCAGACGGAAUUCCGGGUGUAGCGGUGGAAUGCGUAGAGAUCCGGAGGAAGACCGGUGGCGAAGGCGGUCUGCUGGGCAGUUUCUGACACUGAUGCGCGACAGCGUGGGGAGCAAACAGG